CUGGUGCAAAUUACAUUUAACUUUAAAGUCUUGAACAGCCAAAGCAAAACUCUAGCUGCUGCCCUAACUACAGGAUAUAAACAACUCCGAAAGAGUUUGAAACUAGAAAUAUAAUGUUGUACCUUCCCUGGGUGGUUCACAGUAGAUGGCCUCUCCUUCAUCAUCAGUUUCAAAUGAAUCAAUCACCCAGCCGGACGAUGGCUGCUCAAUGAAGCUGUGGUUAAAUGUGAGCUCAGGAUCAUGAUGAGAGACUAAAAACACAACGCAAAUUAGAUGACCAAAGAGUAAUGAACGGCAUUGCUGAACCCAUGUUGGCCAGCACAGUAUAAACAUGAUGCUUCAUGCGAACCGCAGGACUGCCAUCUCCAACCGCCACUCUAGAGGCCGCCCACAACAGCAACAGCAGCAGCAGCAGAACAACAAGGCAAGUAUUAAAAUGCACAAGGGAAUCAAAAGCCCUGCUAAGAGACCUGCCAUGCUACCUAGCAGACAAACCAAAAAAAAAAAAAACAGAUAAGAGGGGAUGCGGAUGCCAGCCGUGAAAAUCAUUUGUAGUGUCUGGACAUACUGUUUGGACAAGCCCCUGUGGCUGGAUGACAGGCAUGAAUCUUCCCACAGUGACAUGUGGCGGAGCAGUUGAUGCCAUAGAGGUUAGGAGGACAUGUGCUGUUACAGCUACAACAGAGAUUGAAAAGUGAGGGAGACUUAUUUGACUCUUACACCAAGGUUAAAACAACCUAUAAAUACCACUGUACCCUCACCUCU